rnacentral:rRNA from 1 species
GACGUAGGGCGCGAGCGUUGUCCGGAUUUAUUGGGCGUAAAGAGCUCGUAGGCGGCUCGUUGCGUCGGCUGUGAAAACCCACAGCUUAACUGUGGGCCUGCAGCCGAUACGGGCGAGCUAGAGUUCGGUAGGGGAGACUGGAAUUCCUGGUGUAGCGGUGAAAUGCGCAGAUAUCAGGAGGAACACCAAUGGCGAAGGCAGCACUCUGGGACGGUACUGACGCUGAGACGCGAAAGCGUGGGGAGCAAACAGG